AAAGUAUUCCCUCCGUCUGAAAAUAGUUGUCUUAGAAUGGUUGUAUCUAGACUUAUUUUAGUUAUAGAUACAUUCAUUUUAUUCAUUUUCAAGGAUAAGUAUUUCCGGACGGAGGGAGUACUCC
rnacentral:pre_miRNA from 1 species